rnacentral:rRNA from 1 species
AACGAACGCUGGCGGCAUGCCUAACACAUGCAAGUCGAACGAGACCUUCGGGUCUAGUGGCGCACGGGUGCGUAACGCGUGGGAACCUGCCUUUAGGUUCGGAAUAACUCAGAGAAAUUUGAGCUAAUACCGGAUAAUGUCUUCGGACCAAAGAUUUAUCGCCUUUAGAUGGGCCCGCGUAAGAUUAGCUAGUUGGUGGGGUAAAGGCCUACCAAGGCGACGAUCUUUAGCUGGUCUGAGAGGAUGAUCAGCCACACUGGGACUGAGACACGGCCCAGACUCCUACGGGAGGCAGCAGUGGGGAAUAUUGGACAAUGGGCGAAAGCCUGAUCCAGCAAUGCCGCGUGAGUGAUGAAGGCCUUAGGGUUGUAAAGCUCUUUACCCGAGAUGAUAAUGACAGUAUCGGGAGAAUAAGCUCCGGCUAACUACGUGCCAGCAGCCGCGGUAAU